rnacentral:rRNA from 1 species
GACGAACGCUGGCGGCGUGCCUAAUACAUGCAAGUAGAACGCUGAAGGAGGAGCUUGCUUCUCUGGAUGAGUUGCGAACGGGUGAGUAACGCGUAGGUAACCUGCCUGGUAGCGGGGGAUAACUAUUGGAAACGAUAGCUAAUACCGCAUAAUAGCAGUUGUUGCAUGACAACUGUUUGAAAGGUGCAAUUGCACCACUACCAGAUGGACCUGCGUUGUAUUAGCUAGUUGGUGGGGUAACGGCUCACCAAGGCGACGAUACAUAGCCGACCUGAGAGGGUGUUCGCCCCACCUGGGACUGAGACCGGCCCAAGACUCCAACGGCAGGCACCAGUAGGGAUUCUUCGGCAAUGGACGGAAGUCUGACCGAGCAACGCCGCGUAAGUGAGGAGGGUUUUCGGAUCGUAAAGCUCUGUUGUAAGAGAAGAACGGGUGUGAGAGUGGAAAGUUCACCCUGUGACGGUAUCUUCCAGAAAGGGACGGCUAACUACGUG